AUUGAACGCUGGCGGCAUGCCUUACACAUGCAAGUCGAACGGCAGCACGGGAGCAAUCCUGGUGGCGAGUGGCGAACGGGUGAGUAAUGUAUCGGAACGUGCCCAGUCGUGGGGGAUCACGUAGCGAAAGCUACGCUAAUACCGCAUACGAUCUGUGGAUGAAAGCGGGGGACCGUAAGGCCUCGCGCGAUUGGAGCGGCCGAUAUCAGAUUAGGUAGUUGGUGGGGUAAAGGCCUACCAAGCCGACGAUCUGUAGCUGGUCUGAGAGGACGACCAGCCACACUGGGACUGAGACACGGCCCAGACUCCUACGGGAGGCAGCAGUGGGGAAUUUUGGACAAUGGGCGCAAGCCUGAUCCAGCAAUGCCGCGUGCAGGAUGAAGGCCUUCGGGUUGUAAACUGCUUUUGUACGGAGCGAAAAGGCUCUCUCUAAUACAGGGGGCUCAUGACGGUACCGUAAGAAUAAGCACCGGCUAACUACGUGCCAGCAGCCGCCGCCG
rnacentral:rRNA from 1 species